AGUGAACGCUGGCGGUAGGCCUAACACAUGCAAGUCGAACGGCAGCACAGUAAGAGCUUGCUCUUACGGGUGGCGAGUGGCGGACGGGUGAGGAAUACAUCGGAAUCUACUUUUUCGUGGGGGAUAACGUAGGGAAACUUACGCUAAUACCGCAUACGACCUACGGGUGAAAGCAGGGGAUCUUCGGACCUUGCGCGAUUGAAUGAGCCGAUGUCGGAUUAGCUAGUUGGCGGGGUAAAGGCCCACCAAGGCGACGAUCCGUAGCUGGUCUGAGAGGAUGAUCAGCCACACUGGAACUGAGACACGGUCCAGACUCCUACGGGAGGCAGCAGUGGGGAAUAUGGGACAAUGGGCGCAAGCCUGAUCCAGCCAUACCGCGUGGGUGAAGAAGGCCUUCGGGUUGUAAAGCCCUUUUGUUGGGAAAGAAAAGCAGCAGGUUAAUACCCCGCUGUUCUGACGGUACCCAAAGAAGAAGCACCGGCGAACUUCGU
rnacentral:rRNA from 1 species